rnacentral:rRNA from 1 species
GAUGAACGCUGGCGGCGUGCCUAAUACAUGCAAGUCGAGCGAACAGACGAGGAGCUUGCUCCUUUGACGUUAGCGGCGGACGGGUGAGUAACACGUAGGUAACCUACCUAUAAGACUGGGAUAACUUCGGGAAACCGGAGCUAAUACCGGAUAAUAUUUCGAACCGCAUGGUUCGAUAGUGAAAGAUGGCUUUGCUAUCACUUAUAGAUGGACCUGCGCCGUAUUAGCUAGUUGGUAAGGUAACGGCUUACCAAGGCAACGAUACGUAGCCGACCUGAGAGGGUGAUCGGCCACACUGGAACUGAGACACGGUCCAGACUACUACGGGAGGCAGCAGUAGGGAAUCUUCCGCAAUGGGCGAAAGCCUGACGGAGCAACGCCGCGUGAGUGAUGAAGGUCUUCGGAUCGUAAAACUCUGUUAUUAGGGAAGAACAAACGUGUAAGUAACUGUGCACGUCUUGACGGUACCUAAUCAGAAAGCCACGGCUAACUACGUG